rnacentral:rRNA from 1 species
UACGAAGGGGGCUAGCGUUGCUCGGAAUUACUGGGCGUAAAGCGCACGUAGGCGGCUCUUUAAGUCGGGGGUGAAAUCCUGGAGCUCAACUCCAGAACUGCCUUCGAUACUGUAGAGCUUGAGUUCGGGAGAGGUGAGUGGAACUGCGAGUGUAGAGGUGAAAUUCGUAGAUAUUCGCAAGAACACCAGUGGCGAAGGCGGCUCACUGGCCCGGUACUGACGCUGAGGUGCGAAAGCGUGGGGAGCAAACAGG